UUGAACGCUGGCGGCAGGCCUAACACAUGCAAGUCGAGCGGAUGAAGGGAGCUUGCUCCUGGAUUCAGCGGCGGACGGGUGAGUAAUGCCUAGGAAUCUGCCUGGUAGUGGGGGAUAACGUCCGGAAACGGGCGCUAAUACCGCAUACGUCCUGAGGGAGAAAGUGGGGGAUCUUCGGACCUCACGCUAUCAGAUGAGCCUAGGUCGGAUUAGCUAGUUGGUGGGGUAAAGGCCUACCAAGGCGACGAUCCGUAACUGGUCUGAGAGGAUGAUCAGUCACACUGGAACUGAGACACGGUCCAGACUCCUACGGGAGGCAGCAGUGGUGAAUAUUGGACAAUGGGCGAAAGCCUGAUCCAGCCAUGCCGCGUGUGUGAAGAAGGUCUUCGGAUUGUAAAGCACUUUAAGUUGGGAGGAAGGGCAGUAAGUUAAUACCUUGCUGUUUUGACGUUACCAACAGAAUAAGCACCGGCUAACUUCGUG
rnacentral:rRNA from 1 species